rnacentral:lncRNA from 1 species
CUCCAUUAACAGUGUCCAUUCUUCCUGUAGACGGCCCUCAUUGCAGGAUGAGUUGGUUAGUCGCUGGUGGACUCAUGGGAUGGGCCUUCUGUGUCCCUGGCUGUGCCAAAAUCCUGGUGUCACGUGGCAGGAUCACUGUUUUACCACCACUGCCACAUGCAGACACUCAUUAUAUCAUAACGACACUUUAUGCAUCUCCUGUCAUUUCCAGUGGUUCAUUAGAGCUCCUACCUGAUUUAAGCAAAUCACAGACAUUGGCGUGACCCUAACACUUUGUAAUAGAGCAUACACAGAUCAAUGCAGCCAUGAUACACGUUAUCACAUGGGAAAUACUUUAGGUAUAUGGUUUAUGUAUAAAUAUGCUGUGUUGCGGUGACCCUAGUUUCCUUUCCGGACCUUGCCCAAGUCCACGGCAAAGUAGGCAAAACGUGGGAAUGUGCGGCUGUUCUCCCUGUACCCACUUUAAUAUGUGGUCAUUUUACAUUGUUAAAUUGUGAUCUAGAAGAACAUUUACAUACAGAAAAGUGGAACGAUCACCAAGGUAUCUGAUGACAUCUGCAGCGCCAUUCUACUGGAUUCCAUGGCAACUGCUCCACUCUUCAAUUAGCAGGCCAUUUAUGUUAUAAGAAAACAGAACAUUUGCAAGUGUUGGUGCUGAUCAGCAAAGUGCCCUUUCUUGUGAAGUCAGUGAGACAGAGGAUUAGACAGAGACAGAGGAUUAGCAGCACGGAUUUCUCAUUGCCUUGGCCUUGGUAACAAUAGUUAAUGGACCACCAUGUCCAGGGACAGGAUCUUUUUUAGUACUUCAAUAAUCUGUGAGCGUCUAUAGAUACAUCCCAAUGUUUGCAGGUGUCACAACAUUUAAUGAUAGUAAGAACUCUCAAAGUCUAAUCAGACUGAUAUUGUCCCACUAACUGUCUCAUCUCAAUAAAUGAAUAAACAGAUCCUUAACUAGACUCCAUCAUGUAAAGGCUAAUUAAACAGCCUAAUGUACAGAUAUGUGAGUAAGCAUGAACAUAUAAAAAUCUCACAAUGAAUCAUAACCUUAGAGUUCUGCACAAUACAGAAGAGGUUUCACAAUAUAUAUUAAUGCCAUUUACAUACAUUGGGUUUUUUAAUAGUUUUUUUUUGUUUUUUUCCUUAAAGGAGAUCAGGAAGCAGUGGCCUGUAUGAGAUUGGCUUCAUCCAUUCAACACGCAAAAUUCCUUGAACUAAGAGAUUAAAAUACGGAAUCCAAGGAGAAGUGGAGAGGAUCUAAGAGGCUCUUAGUUCCUACCAUGGACAGCUCCGGGAUUCCAUAGAAAUGCUGGAACACAUCCCAUGGUUCUGAUGUCAUAAUGGCAGCCAAACAGAUUGACAUCCAACUGGCAAAAUGACAUACCAAAUGGCUGGGCACAUCAGUAUUUGGAUGAAGAUAUGACACCUUCAGAGAGUCGACCUUGAGCUGCAGAUAUUCAUUGGAGAGUGGAAUUCAGCUGCCAUCUAAGACUGGGCACCAAAUCCCACAUAUGGCAAGUGUUGGCACUGGGUUGAACAUUGUAUUUGCUGAAGCAAACUGUGGAGCAUUACAUAAGGCAAUAUGGAAAACAUUGGAUAAAUUGCAUGGCGAAGCCACUAUCUCAUUGAAAAUGUGGACUUAUUUCUGCCACUUCCAUGGACACUGAACUUUUCAAUUUUUUAGGUACAUGUGCAAAUCAAGAGAUUUUCUCAAGUCUUUCAGCCAGCAGUAUGUAUCUAGUCCAAUCUAAGUUGUUAGCUCAUCUGCACAUGUCCUUAUGUCCACCAGACCAAAGUAAUGGCCCAACUGUUGAGACGUACAUGCAGAACAGAACCAAUGACUGUUCCUCAGGCUAAUCGACAGUUACAAUGUUCUAUACAGAUACUGGAAACCAGGCAAGGACAGUGUGUGAGCUCUGUGCAGCUCAGGUGACAGGAUCUAAAUGUGGAUCCCUAGCAAAAGCACCAUGUCUGCCAAUGUAGGAAUACCCAGGCACAUUGCUUCCCUUGUAUGAAGCGAUCCGGCGCUGUCUCUCUCUCCCUCCUCGUUCUCUUGCAUGGACUUGCAGUUCUUCCUCUUGCUCUGAGUCUGCCUUGCUGGAGUUACCUUCUUAGAGCACUAUAUACACAUUGAUCGAUGUCUCAAGCUCCCCGGUCUCCUGCGCUUUUCCGACAAAUCCUUUCCUCAUCGUAAGUGGUUUCGCUCGGCGAGCACGACACACACACUUUGCUCAUUUUCUCCCUUUGGAGUUGUGCUGAUGAGGCGUUAGGAGUAAAUAAGCAUAUGCAUUUAUGCAAAUUGCAGACUAGCGUGAGAUAAUGAAAACAAAGCAGCGCUGGCUCUCUGCCAAGCUGUGGCACUGAACAAGCCUCAGGCUGCUCCGUGCCUCCUGAUUCCUCCGUAGAAGCAGCUGAGGAGAGAGCGAAGAUGGGCACCCCAGACGUUCCGGUGCCCACCACUUGCCUGAUGCAGAGAGGUACAAUUUGCACGUCGCCUCCUUGGGAAGAUUGGCAUUCCCAGGAGCUUAUGGUCAUUACAAAUACACCUCCCCUUUGCAUCCACAGUUCCUUCAUGAUUCCCUCCAUGGAAUUUACAAACAUUUCCCUCAGAUCAAUAGCUGUAUUGAUUAUUCAUUGUGAGAGAGUUCUAUGUCUCUGGCCACACGGCUUUGGCACAGUGUGAGCUGCUGCAGAGCAGGAAGUGUGGGGGGGUGGGGGGGGGGUGGAAUCGAGCUGCUGUUCAGGGUGAAGCCAAGACAGCAAAAAGGAGAGAGCGAAAGCAGGAAUCAGAAAGAAAAACAGAAAUAGGAGUAAAGACACAGAUGCUACACGCAGCAAACUUGUUCCAGAAGAGAUACAGCGUGUUUGGGCAACGUUACACCGGCCACUGCCACCUUUUUGGAGUCUGGCAGGAUGCUAAAGAGGAGUACCGGAGAUUGGGCUCCAACAUGACAGCAUGAGGGGAUUACUUAUCUUUUAUUGGAAAGAAAAUGCAGGGAAGAAAAGGGGAUUUGAUGACAGAAAUAACUGGUGCAAACCAGCAACAUUGGCAGGUGAGCCACCAAGGUAACACUGGCACCAAUCAGGCCAGGAAACAAUGGAGUUUGGGAGGAGACCCUGCCAGCUUUCAGUGGAUUCCUGAGAUUGGAGUCAGAUGGAAUUUAAUAAUGACGGAUAAUGCAGAUCAUCUCUUUAUCCAGGCGGAAUGAACUAAUUGUGCCAUUUAUAAAUGGCAUCGCACUAACACACUGCAUCACAAAUAGCUAUCUUUAGAACAGGCAAUGCAAUAAAUAUGAAGUAAAGAAGAUCUGUUAUAACCAGAGCUGUGGAAUAAUGGUGUGCGGAAAGGAAUGUUUCAGAGCAAAGGAUAAAACAAAUAAAAAUAAUACAUGAAAAAUAACCUGGAGAAAUGACAGAGAUCGUUGCCACAUCCAGAGGGCCGUAUCUCCAGUGGCUAAAGAUUUGAAAUGAUACAUUGGUGAUUGGUGUGAAUAUUGUGUAACCGAGAACACUCUCUGUAAGACAGGGCAGUGCCCUCUGUGUGAAGCCAAUCAGGGGGCUGAGAAGGAGACAUUCAGAGGAAUGUGAUACUCUGCCGUUCAUAUCCCACAGCUGAUGCACUGGCUGCAGUGCUGCAGGGACAGCCAUGUGUGUGAAUACAGACCUGCAUGUGUAAUCAGAUGCAUUGUUUAAAUGUCUCCAGCAGAAUUUGCAGGUUUCUCAGUGAUAGAAUGCAUCUAGGAAUCUGUGUAUCUGGUGAAAGGUUUUAUCGGUUUAGUUCACACCCAUCAUUCAGGUGGUUCAGAGCCUGCAUCCCCACUGUUCAAGUCUCUGCCUGUUAUGCGUUGUGUGCAACAUACAGAAUGAUUGAUAGCAUGCAUGGGAAUGUCUCACUGUCUACACCUCUCUCUCAGAUCAUGCAUGUCUCUCUAGCUGCAUACAUGCCUGUUCCUGGCAGUGAACAUGUCUCUCUGGCUGCAUACAUGCCUGUUCCUGGCAGUGAACAUAUCUCUCUGGCUGCAUACAAGUCUGUCUAGAUUUAUGUCUAUCUCAUACAACAUACUUGUGUCCGUAAACAUGAACUGAAUGUUUCUUUGGUGAUUCAGUUGUCUCUACGUGUCUCUCUGGCACUGUACAUGUCUCUGAACAAGUGUACAUGUCUCUCUCUUAGUAUGUAUGUCUGGUGCUAUACACAUCUCCAUACAGCACAGAUGUAUCUACAUCAUUAUAUAUGUGUCUCUGUAAGUUUGCAUGUCUCUCUGCCAGUAUACACGUCUCUCUGGCAGCAUAAGUCUCUCUGUCAGUAUAUGUGUCUCUGUCAGUAUAUCCGUCUCUGUCAGUAUAUCUGUCUCUGUCAGUAUGCAUGUCUCUGUCAGUAUAUGUGUCUCUGUCAGAGUAUGUGUCUCUGUCAGUAUGUAUGUCUCUCUGGCAGUAUAUGAGUCUCUGUCAGUAUGUAUGUCUCUCUGUCAAUAUAUGUUUCUCUGUCAGUAUGCAUGUCUCUGUCAGUAUAUGUCAGAGUAUGUGUCUCUGUCAGUAUGUAUGUCUCUCUGUCAGUAUGUAUGUCUCUCUGUCAGUAUGUAUGUCUCUCUGGCAGUAUAUGUGUCUCUGUCAGUAUGUAUGUCUCUCUGUCAGUAUGUAUGUCUCUCUGGCAGUAUAUGUGUCUCUGUCAGUAUGCAUUUCUCUGUCAGUAUGUAUGUCUCUCUGGCAGUAUAUGUGUCUCUGUCAGUAUGCAUGUCUCUGUCAGUAUAUGUCAGAGUAUGUGUCUCUGUCAGUAUGUAUGUCUCUCUGUCAGUAUGUAUGUCUCUCUUGUGGUAUAUGUGUCUCUGUCAGUAUGUAUGUCUCUCUUGUGGUAUAUGUGUCUCUGUCAGUAUGUAUGUCUCUCUGUCAGUAUAUGUGUCUCUGUCAGUAUAUCUGUCUCUGUCAGUAUGCAUGUCUCUCUGGCAGCAUAAGUCUCUCUGUCAGUAUAUGUGUCUCUGUCAGUAUGUAUGACUCUUAAGUGCUAUGCGUGUCUCUGUCAGUAUACAUAUGUCUCUGUCAGUAUGCAUGUCUCUCUGGCAGUGUACAUAUUACUACAGCAAAAUAUAUCUUUGUGUAUUAAUCUACAUGUUUGUCUGACAUUCAAAUCCCACCUGCCCUACUGGUGAACACAACCCUCUAUCACGUCUGUAUCCCGGCAGGUGUACACAUUAGAAGAAUUCAGAAUGUGGUAAAACAGUCAAACCAAGGGCCACAGACACACAUUGCAGAGAGAAAAUGGACAAAGUCCACAUGUACAAGACAAGGAUGAACUACAAUAAAUAGAUUUAUCGUUAUUGAGGGUUUGAAUUCUAAAAUAAAAUCUCACUUUGUAUUACAAAUAUUGCAUUGAAAUAUAUACAUUAUUGAUAAAUGUCUACUGUGCGCUUGAAACAUAGCGUUUGUUUCAUAUGUAAAUAAAUAUAAUCGUUACUUGGACUAAGAAGACACAGGAGUGCACUAACACACACACACAAUGACUUAUAUUAUAAACUAAGAGCAAAGUUAUAUUUCCCAUUUAUAAAUACUCGGUAAAAGUUUCACCCUAAAAUAAAAAUAUGUUUAUCAUUUGAAAUAAUAAUAUUACUAAGUGUACACACAGAUAAUCAGACAGACAGAUAACUGGAUAGCUAAAUAAUUAGACUGAAAGGCAGUCAUUAAGACAGAGAUAAACAGAUAGACAUAGACAGACAGAUAGAUAGGCAGAUACAAGGACAGCAGCAAAAACAGCUCCAUCUAGCGCCCUUUGCCCCCCAUAAAUCAUACAGUUUGUAAUUUUGUCAUAUCACUACAAAUCACUGUUUAGUGAAUAUGCUGUAUAGUUGUGCACUGCCUGUACAUGUGGCUGUUACAGGAUUCCUCUGUGCUCUGUAAUUCUCAUUUCUCACGUUUUUAAUAUAAUGAAUCACUGGAAGCACAGAGGAAUUAAUUAUACUUUAUUAAGAGAAGGUAAAUACAAAACAAAAAUAGUGUUCGUGCAACCAAAAUGUGAUCAUAAAAUGACCAAAACUGUGUAUAAAAUGAUAGAAGACUGCUAGAACGGUACCAUAGAUAUACACUAUACAACUGUAAACGCUACGAGCUACAAAUGUAGCAAUUCAAUGUAAAGAGUUAAACUAAUUUGAUACAAAAGUGACAGCCUGGUUUCUGUAGUGUCCUGUGUAAGUUAUAUACAGGAUUAUCUGUGUUUUGAGUAAAGGUCACAUAAGAUACUUAAAUAGGGAGUUGGAUAAGAAAUAGUGCUUGGCUAGACCUGAAAUCGCCAUGUAAGAG